rnacentral:tRNA from 1 species
AUCAAUGAACUUGUAUAAGUAUAUAUUUUGAAAAUAUAAAAAAGAGAAUGAUCCUCUAUUGAUUU